GAGUUUGAUCAUGGCUCAGGAUGAACGCUAGCGGCAGGCCUAAUACAUGCAAGUCGAACGCUCAGUAGCAAUACUGGGAGUGGCGCACGGGUGCGUAACGCGUACACAAUCUACCUCUAAGCGGGGGACACCUCCUGGAAACGGGGAUUAAUACCGCAUAAUAUGCCGAAGUCGCAUGACUUUGGUAUUAAAGCAGCAAUGCACUUAGAGAUGAGUGUGCGUCCCAUUAGGUAGUUGGUGAGGUAACGGCUCACCAAGCCUAUGAUGGGUAGCCGGUCUGAGAGGAUGGUCGGCCACACGGGCACUGAGACACGGGCCCGACUCCUACGGGAGGCAGCAGUAAGGAAUAUUGGUCAAUGGUGGAAACACUGAACCAGCCAUGCCGCGUGGAGGAAUAAGGUCCUACGGAUUGUAAACUCCUUUUGACGAGGAAGAAAAUGUUAGAUUUAUCUAAUUUUGACGGUACUCGUAGAAUAAGCACCGGCUAACUCCGUG
rnacentral:rRNA from 1 species